rnacentral:RNase_P_RNA from 1 species
AGAGCGGGUGAGGUGAUCGCUCCUCCCGAUUUAUCGGGAGGGGAGGAAAGUCCGAGCUCCGCAGGGCAAGGCGGUCCCGAAAGGGGACAGGGGGCGACCCCAUGGACAGUGCCACAGAAAAGAAGACCGCCCCGGGUGACCGGGGCAAGGGUGAAACGGUGAGGUAAGAGCUCACCAGGUCCCGUCGCGAGGCGGGAUGCUUGGCAAACCCCGCCUGGAGCAAGACCACGUAGGGAAGCGUUCCCCUGCAAAGGGGAUAAGGACGGCCCGUCUGAGACUUCCGGGUAGGUCGCUCGUGCCUUCGGGCAACCGAAGGCCCAGAUAAAUGCUCACCACCCUGAGUAAUCAGGGGCACAGAACUCGGCUUACGGCCCGCUCUGAUU